rnacentral:rRNA from 1 species
UACACGACCGUACCGCAAACCGACACUGGUGCGCGAGAUGAGUAUUCUAAGGCGCUUGAGAGAACUCAUGAGAAGGAACUCGGCAAAUUGACACCGUAACUUCGGAAGAAGGUGUGCCUUUAGUAGGUGAACCUGUACAAGGGGAGCCCAAUGAGGUUGCAAAAAAUCGGUGGCUGCGACUGUUUAAUAAAAACACAGCACUCUGCAAACACGAAAGUGGACGUAUAGGGUGUGACGCCUGCCCGGUGCUGGAAGAUUAAAUGAUGGGGUGCAAGCUCUUGAUUGAAGUCCCAGUAAACGGCGGCCGUAACUAUAACGGUCCUAAGGUAGCGAAAUUCCUUGUCGGGUAAGUUCCGACCUGCACGAAUGGCGUAACGAUGGCCACACUGUCUCCUCCUGAGACUCAGCGAAGUUGAAAUGUUUGUGAUGAUGCAAUCUCCCCGCGGAAAGACGGAAAGACCCCAUGAACCUUUACUGUAGCUUUGUAUUGGACUUUGAACAGAUCUGUGUAGGAUAGGUGGGAGGCUUUGAAGUGUGGUCGCUAGAUCGCAUGGAGCCAACGUUGAAAUACCACCCUGGUGUGUUUGAGGUUCUAACCUAGGCCCGUAAUCCGGGUCGGGGACAGUGCAUGGUAGGCAGUUUGACUGGGGCGGUCUCCUCCCAAAGCGUAACGGAGGAGUUCGAAGGUACGCUAGGUACGGUCGGACAUCGUGCUAAUAGUGCAAUGGCAUAAGCGUGCUUAACUGCGAGACUGACAAGUCGAGCAGAUGCGAAAGCAGGACAUAGUGAUCCGGUGGUUCUGUAUGGAAGGGCCAUCGCUCAACGGAUAAAAGGUACUCUGGGGAUAACAGGCUGAUACCGCCCAAGAGUUCAUAUCGACGGCGGUGUUUGGCACCUCGAUGUCGGCUCAUCUCAUCCUGGGGCUGUAGCCGGUCCCAAGGGUAUGGCUGUUCGCCAUUUAAAGAGGUACGUGAGCUGGGUUUAAAACGUCGUGAGACAGUUUGGUCCCUAUCUUCCGUGGGCGCUGCAGAUUUGAGGAAGCCUGCUCCUAGUACGAGAGGACCGGAGUGGACACACCUCUGGUGUAUCGGUUGUCACGCCAGUGGCAUUGCCGAGUAGCUAUGUGUGGAAGAGAUAACCGCUGAAAGCAUCUAAGCGGGAAACUCGUUUCAAGAUGAGAUCUGCCGGGGCCUUGAGCCCCCUAAAGAGUCGUUCAAGACCAGGACGUUGAUAGGUCGGGUGUGGAAGCGCAGUAAUGCGUUAAGCUAACCGAUACUAAUUGCUCGUGCGGCUUGACC